rnacentral:misc_RNA from 1 species
GUUUUGAAGCUUAAUUAUCUAGUAGUAAAUAUUAUUUGCUGCAUAUCUCUAAUAGUAUAGUUUGCAUACAGUUGUUGUAAGAGAGGUAUGCUAGAACAUUUACUUCACAUACAAGGGGAAGCUUCUUUAAUUGUAUGUCAGGUGGUUUUGUGGGAAAAAACUAGAACUUUUUUUGCUGAAUUACAUGUUCAUGGUGUUUUUUUCUCUGUUUCUGUGCAGUUUAUCUUAUAUUGAAAUGAG